rnacentral:rRNA from 1 species
GACGGAGGAUGCAAGCGUUAUCCGGAAUUAUUGGGCGUAAAGCGUCCGCAGGUGGUUUUACAAGUCUGCUGUUAAAGCGCAGGGCUCAACCUUGUAUAGGCAGUGGAAACUGUAAGACUAGAGUUCGGUAGGGGUAGAGGGAAUUCCCGGUGUAGCGGUGAAAUGCGUAGAUAUCGGGAAGAACACCAGUGGCGAAAGCGCUCUACUGGGCCUGAACUGACACUGAGGGACGAAAGCUAGGGGAGCGAAAGGG